AGGAAGCACCGGCUAACUCCGUGCCAGCAGCCGCGGUAAUACGGAGGGUGCAAGCGUUGUUCGGAAUUAUUGGGCGUAAAGCGCGUGUAGGCGGAUGAAUAAGUCAGGUGUGAAAUCCCUUGACUCAAUCAAGGAACUGCACUUGAAACUAUUUGUCUCGAGUACGAUAGGGGAGGGCGGAAUUCCCAGUGUAGAGGUGAAAUUCAUAGAUAUUGGGAGGAACACCAGUGGCGAAGGCGACCCUCUGGAUCGAUACUGACGCUGAGACGCGAAAGCGUGGGUAGCAAACAGGAUUAGAUACCCUGGUAGUCCACGCUGUAAACGAUGUGCACUAGGUGUUGGAGGUGCUUAAUCCUUCAGUGCCGCAGCUAACGCA
rnacentral:rRNA from 1 species